rnacentral:rRNA from 1 species
GACGAACGCUGGCGGCGUGCUUAACACAUGCAAGUCGAACGGAAAGGCCCUGCUUUUGUUGGGUGCUCGAGUGGCGAACGGGUGGGUAACACGUGAGUAACCUGCCCUUGCCUUUGGGAUAACUUCAGGAAACUGGGGCUAAUACCUGAUAGGAGCUCCUGCUGCAUUGUGGGGGUUGGAAAGUUUCGGCGGUUGGGGAUGGACUCGCGGCUUAUCAGCUUGUUGGUGGGGUAGUGGCUUACCAAGGCCUUGACGGGUAGCCGGCCUGAGAGGGUGAGCGGCAACAUUGGGACUGAGAUACGGCCCAGAAUUCUACGGGAGGCAGCAGUGGGGAAUAUUGUAAAAUGGGCGGAAGCCUGAUGCAGCAACGCCGCGUGCGGGAUGACGGCCUUCGGGUUGUAAACCGCUUUCGCCUGUGACGAAGCGUGAGUGACGGUAAUGGGUAAAGAAGCACCGGCUAACUACGUG